rnacentral:lncRNA from 10 species
AUUUUAUAUACAAAAGAGAUUAAUCUUUGUCUGUCAUAUAUGUUGCAUGCAUUGUACCAUUUGUUAUUUGCCUUUUGAUUUGCAUUGUGUUUCAGCCUUUAUAUUUUUUUCUUUAAAAAAAUGUUUUUAUUUCCAUAGGUUUUGGGGGAACAGGUGGUAUUUGGUUAUAUGAGUAAGUUCUUUAGUGAGAUUUUGGUGCACCCAUCACCUGAGCAGUAUCACUGAACCCAAUUUGUAGUUUUUUGUUUCUCACCCCCUCCCACACUUUUCCCUGAGUCCCCAAAGUCCAUUGUAUCAUUCUUAUUCCUUUGCAUCCUCAUAGCUUAGCUCCCACUUAUGAGUGAG